CGACCGCGUGGAGGAGUGAAGUACCCUUCGGGUAGUGUUAAACUACCUUUCGUAUCGGGACGAUAAUGACGGUACCGGAAGAAGAAGCACCGGCUAACUCUGUGC
rnacentral:rRNA from 1 species